rnacentral:rRNA from 1 species
AUUGAACGCUGGCGGCAGGCUUAACACAUGCAAGUCGAGCGGGGAAGGGUAGCUUGCUACUUGACCUAGCGGCGGACGGGUGAGUAAUGCUUAGGAAUCUGCCUAUUAGUGGGGGACAACAUCUCGAAAGGGAUGCUAAUACCGCAUACGUCCUACGGGAGAAAGCAGGGGACCUUCGGGCCUUGCGCUAAUAGAUGAGCCUAAGUCGGAUUAGCUAGUUGGUGGGGUAAAGGCCUACCAAGGAGACGAUCUGUAGCGGGUACUGAGAGGAUGAUCCGCCACAAUGGGACUGAGACACGGCCCAGACUCGUACGGGAGGCAGCAGUGGGGAAUAUUGGACAAUGGGGGGAAACCUGAUCCAGCCAGGCCGCGUGUGUGAAGAAGGCCUUUUGGUUGUAAAGCACUUUAAGCGAGGAGGAGGCUACCGAGAUUAAUACUCUUGGAUAGUGGACGUUACUCGCAGAAUAAGCACCGGCUAACUCUGUGCCAGCCGCCGCCGUAAUAC